GUGAUUAGAAGCAGUUGUGGUAGUAAGCAAAACUCAAAUACCCCAAGUUGUGAUCAUAUACAGAAUCAAUAUUCAUACAAAGGAGGUCAAGGGGUUUGGGACACACAUAUAUCUUAUUGUAAACAAAUAACCCCAUUAAGGGUCUUAGGACUAGUUGGACAUGCACAGCAAUGGUUGAUACUUGUAUGAUCACAGGCUAGUCAGAAAUAACAUAAGCACAUUGAGGGUAUAUGGACUUGGGAUGGCAAGUGCACAAUAAGUGACUGACAGACCAUGCCUUGAAACACACAUAAGGGAGUGCAUUAAUCUAAAGGGGAAGGGGAUACAUUAUAGCAUGCUAGUAAUGCACCUUAACAGAACCACAAGCAGGAGUAGAUAAAAAAUGAAAGAAGCUAAAACAAAUAAGGCAGCAUGUUGUUGUUGGAGCUUUAAAAUUAAACUACGACAUACCAGUCAAAGAAGCAAAGUGCAAAAAGAAAAGUAAGCACGAUUCCACAGUCUAGCCUUGGCUUUCAGCCGGCUAAACAAAGAAGUAGCACAAGUAAUAAUUUAGAAAAAAAGAGUUUUCAGUGUGUAAGUGUGUGUUCUAAACUCAAUUGUUUGUGUCUUGCUAAUGAAAAUAUUGGAAUAUUUAUAGCUUUAAAAACGAGAAGAAAUUAAGUUUACAAGUAAAAAGUUUAACAAAGAUAUGGAAAUAAUAACGACCAAAAUCAAUUAAUACAAGUACUUCCUUUUAAUCAAGGAAUUACUGCCUAACGGAUACUAACAUGGAUAACUAAGGAACGAGAAUCAAUUUGAGAAAGAUUGAUUUCUGACCAUAUAAGGGAUAGUAAAAUAUGAAGUAUACAAUUGAGUCUAGGUACAAAAUAUGUUUAAUUGGGGAAAGGAUUCAGCAGGAUAAUACAUCACAGCAAAGGAAAGGAAUCAAUCAAUUUUAAAUAAAAUUAGUAAAAUUAGGGUUUGUAAGAAAACCUUGCAAUCAAACCGUCACUUAAGGAAAUUAAGAUGAAUCAAGAAGUGGUCAUGAUUCUGUACUUCAACAUACAAAUGGAAAGGAAUGCAGGGGUGUAUUAGACAUGAAGGGUCACACAUAAAGGAUCAAACUGGAUGAACAUAAACAUAUAGGAGUGACAUGAAUAGGUUAAGGACUGUUCAAAGCAUGGUAAUCGACAAGGUCAGACAGUCACGGAUCAUACGUAGAACCAAAGCGAAGAAAUCAGUCUAACAGGUAAAGAAAGUCAGAAACAAGUAAAUAACUCAUUAAACUCACAGUAAUGAGUGAGGAAACCUUUGCAAUUAGGGUUUAUGCAAAUUGUCGAGUUAAAAAUGGUAAUAACUUAGAACCAGAUAAGUUAAACAAGAAAAAGGAUUCAAACACAAAGAACCUAAUUGAACCAAGCAUUCCUAUAAAAUAAACAAAGAGAGACUCAGAACCAUAGAUAAAACCGAAACACUUUGGGUUUUAACACGAUGAACCAGGUAGAAGAAAAACAUAAGCAAAUAGUUUAAACAUAGUAAAACAACAUUACAAAUCGGAGAAGAGAUCUUUCAAAAGAGGUUGAGAAAACCCUAAUCGUUGAAAAUGAAGAGUCAUUUUGAAAGAAAUUGGAGAACCUUUGAGAAAACACCAAGGAUUUCAUAACAUACAUAGAUCUAAGAAAGAUCUGAAAGAAAAAUCAGAAAGCUCUUAAAGGUAGGGUUUCAGAGAACCUAGAAAAGUGAGAAUGACUUCGAAAAGUUACCGAUCAAGCUGGAAAAGCCAUGGAUCCGACUCGAUCGGCCAUGGAUGGCCAGAAAAGACCACAGACAGAAGUCGAGCAGGAUCUGGAUUAUAUCUCUUUGAGAUCUUUUCAUAAAAUCACGAAAACAAACAAAUAUGAGCCAUAAGAGACUGGUACACCUCUCAAACAACCUUGGGAGUCCAUGGAUUAGGUAGGAAUUGAAAGGUAUUAGGGUAGAUUUGGGUGGCGGCAGCUAGGGUUUAGGUGAGAUUGCAAAGAUUUUUGGGAGGAGAGG
rnacentral:lncRNA from 1 species